rnacentral:lncRNA from 1 species
GUCGCGGCCCAGAGUUCACCUGGGAGCGCGAAGAUCGGAUGAAACAAAAGUAUCCCCAACUGUUUGAGAACAGUACAACCGCUACUGAGGUUGAAGCUACGGAAUUUCGGGACGAAAUUCCAGAUCAACGGGGGGUGGAUGUGACACCCCAGGAAAACCGGGAAAACCAGACAACUUAACUAGCUUCCUCAGUGAGUGCCAUCAAAUUUCGGGACGAAAUUUCUUUCAACUUGGGGAUGAUGUGACAACCUGAAACUUAGAACCUUUCAUUGUAUCGUGAUGUAACAUGCUUGAACACUAUGUGAGCCGAGAACCCAACUCGAGACAACAAGGAACCCGACUUGAGACCAUGAGGUCUCGAGUGUAUAGUAACCGAAUGGGCCUUGGGCCGAGAACCUAGUGACCGGUUUGGGCCAUUGGGCCGUGACCUCCUUAACCGGCUAGUAAGCCCUUUAGGGUGCACCUUGUGGAACUAGUAUAUAUAGCAAACCCCUUGCCAACCUUGUCACUCUUUGGGCAACCACACUCACACUCCUACACACACACUCUCACUAAAACCCUAGAAACACAAACACACCUCCAAGCUCUCGAACCCAAUCGGUUGGCACAAGAACCCUCGGAUUUGGACUUUGGAUCGACUCACACACGCACCUCAUCAACCGGUUAGUGUUUCUCGAUGUUUAUGGUUGAAUAUGGUUGAUUCUUGUUGUGUUUUGUGAUGCAUGAUAAAGCUAAUUGACAAGAUGAUGUUGUUGAGAUAUGCAUGAUGUUCA